rnacentral:tRNA from 1 species
GCCUCUGUAGCUCAGAUGGUUAGAGUGCUGCACCAGAAUCGCAGGGCCGUAGGUUCAAUUCCUACCAGAGGAC